GACGUAGGGCGCGAGCGUUGUCCGGAUUUAUUGGGCGUAAAGAGCUCGUAGGCGGCUUGUCGCGUCGUCCGUGAAAACUUGGGGCUCAACCCCAAGCUUGCGGUCGAUACGGGCAGGCUCGAGUUCGGUAGGGGAGACUGGAAUUCCUGGUGUAGCGGUGAAAUGCGCAGAUAUCAGGAGGAACACCGAUGGCGAAGGCAGGUCUCUGGGCCGAUACUGACGCUGAGGAGCGAAAGCGUGGGGAGCGAACAGG
rnacentral:rRNA from 1 species